rnacentral:lncRNA from 1 species
AACUUCUAAAAUUCUUCACAAAUUAGUCUGGGACUUAUAUUUAUUAUUUUAAAUAAACGGGGCGUUACAUGAACGACUGUGGCCCGUUUGAAUAAUUCGAUUAUUCUUAAUAAACUCAAUUAUUCUGGAAGUCAAAACAUGCAAAUGUGAAACACAAGAAUAAUACUAAUCCCAUAUGGCCUCAAACCUUUGAGUAUAAAUAAAACGCCUUUUAUUUAUCACCAUAUUGAUUACUCAUUAUUUGUCGUUUCGGGUAAUCAACUUCUUACUUGAAUUAUAACACUUGUCCCAUGCUCCUAGCAUGCACACAAUGUUUACCUAUGGUUCUUACUUUGUGAAAUAGAUCACAUUGAACACAUUUCCAAUCAUUCUCAUUUCACAACUCCAAAUCCUUUUUCAUAAGUGAAAGAAUAUCAAAUUCUUGCUACUUAUAGAAUAUGCUAGAUUCUAACAUUCUAUGCAACUAUCCUUUCGUAAUGUCACUGCACCAAAGCCACAAACACUGUUGCCAAUGAUAUUACAAAGUCCUCUAUCGGAGAUUGUUACAAGACAAUUCCUUAGAUAUGAUGUCUCUCACUCAAAGUACAUUCCUUUGAACAUCCUUUUGCAUAAAAGUUUCUAAUCUAGACAUAAAUUUUUAAUAUUCAAUUCCCCAUAUGGACACGUUUCCAUAUUUUCCAUAUGACAACUCAUUCUUAAUAGAAUCUUUUCUAUUCAUAAUAAUGUCGAUAUUGUCCAUCCAAUAUGGAAACAUUUCCAUAUUUUCCAAUACUAUACUUCCAACUACUCACAAGCGACCAAUCCUCGUCGAACUUUGGAUUGUCCUUUGAUAGUUGUUUAAUUAUUUUAGUCAAAACCAAUUCUUGUCCUUUUUCCCUCUAAAUGCGCUCGACAUUUGGAAAAUUUUAGAAUGAUCAAACAUUAAAGCAUUUGCAAUCGAUCCUAUACCCGAAGCGUAUGGGACACGACGCAUAAUGUUUUAUUUGCUAUGUUCUCAAAAUUCGAAUUGUGAAGAGG